rnacentral:rRNA from 1 species
CAGUAGCCGCGGUAAUACAGAGGGUGCAAGCGUUAAUCGGAAUUACUGGGCGUAAAGCGCGCGUAGGUGGUUUGUUAAGUUGGAUGUGAAAUCCCCGGGCUCAACCUGGGAACUGCAUCCAAAACUGGCAAGCUAGAGUAUGGUAGAGGGUGGUGGAAUUUCCUGUGUAGCGGUGAAAUGCGUAGAUAUAGGAAGGAACACCAGUGGCGAAGGCGACCACCUGGACUGAUACUGACACUGAGGUGCGAAAGCGUGGGGAGCAAACAGGAUUAGAUACCCGUGUAGUCCCUGUCUCUUAUAC